rnacentral:tRNA from 1 species
CUCGGCCGGGGCGGCGGUUCGUACGACCGGGUCCUCGCCCGGCUCGCCCGCGCGGGGAAGGACCCGGCCCUCGUGGUGCUCCUCUACGCGGACGAGG